AACUCCUGCCUUGCCUUUCCCCAGAAUCUUUGUUCUCUCCUGCCUCUGCUGCUGCUGCUGUUUUGGUGUGUGGGGUGUGAGGCAAAGUGAACCACCCUUUAGACAAAACAUGGAGGUAGAGCUGGGAGAACCAAAAAUGGCUCAGGGUGAUAAUCUUAGGCAUGGGGCAGAGCUGACGAGCUAACAGUGGUUUCUGCCCAUGCCAGUAAUGUCUGCCUCUAUUGCAGAUUCCCUAGCAUGGUUCUUGGUCCCAGUGCACUGCAUGUCACUGGGGCCUAAACAGAAAACAACAGCUGCCAAUGCCACCCCCAGAUGUAAGCCAAGAGGCUGGGCCCUUCUGAUGUGCAGCCAAAGGUGUAGAAAGAGAGUCGGCCUUCUUCACUUCUAAAAAGAAAAAUCUCCCUCCCAUACUUAGGAUGUUUUAUUCCUGUUUUUAAGCUAGCUCAGCUUCCUCCCUGGCAUGGAGUUUUGAUAGAAGAGACAGCAAAAGGUGAAGAGACAGCAAAUGGUGGGGAUUUAGCUCACACAUUGUGUUUCAGACAGCUCAUGGGCACCCAAGAGGGAAAUGAGGAGAUGGAAACUUUAGAGGGAGAAGUGCCAAGGUCUAACAUGGCUCACAUCAAAGGAAUAUUCCUUCUCAUACUCCUUUCUCCUCCUGGCCCUUGACAUCUACUGAGUAUCAAUCAGUUCAGGUAGUUUUCAGCCAAGCACUACAAAGGUGGAUCAAUUUCUUAAAUCAGUUGAAAAGUUAGCUACCUUCUACACAGUUCAUUUUAUAGCAUAAGUACACUUAGCAUAACUCAACAGCUAGCUGUUAAAUUGCAACCUGCUUGUCAUUUGGAGUUGGCUUUGUUUAGCUUUCAAAUCUGCUUGGUAAAUUAAGUUAGUAUGAUGAUAGAGCCAACAAGAAUAAGAAAUGUGACUCAAUUGAGUCUCAGCUGAGACCCAAGAUCCUUAUUGUCCCAAUCUGUGUAGAUAAUUUUCUUCUAGGCAAACUUAGCCAUUUUCAAGUAAAGUGGGUAGAAAUUUAUGUUUUUGUUUGUUUAAUGUGGUUCUGGGGAUGCUGUCUUGAAUAUUUGCUAUG